rnacentral:lncRNA from 10 species
GGGACGGGGUGAGGGCAGAGUGGGAGGCUGGCUGCAGCUGUUGCAGCCUUCCGGCCUGAGGGAGCUAGGAUGCCUCGCCUCUUCCUUUCCCUCCCCACUUCCCCUUUCCCCCAUGGGGUCGCUAAUGGCAUUGCCGCAGUCCAAGGGCUCCUUCCUGUUACUGACUCACUGUGUGAAUGGGGGGUCUGCAGCAGGAUGGAGGGAGUAGAGCUGUAGGGUGGGCUGGGGCCCCCUUCCCUAUCCGGCUGCUGGAGCCCUGUGCUCUGCUCACCUGUACCGCUCACCACAUGAGAAGUGGCCCCUUGCCUUCUUACCCAUCUCUGUGACUUGAUUAACUCUGCUCCCAGUGAGAAGUUAGUGGGUCCCAGUCAGAAGUGGUCUACAUCUGUCAAGGCCCCUCCUGUGGUGGAGGCACCCUGACCUCAGUGACCAUUCUCUGCUGGGAACCCCUAUGGCUCUGCACUGAGACUUAGAAUGACAGCUCUGUGGAUCAUCUAUUAAUGCCCGGGCCCCAGCUCCCCCCACCACACAGUCACUGAGUACUUGCUGUACACCCGCGAGAACAGAAGUGUCUCAGCAACAGGCUCUGAGUGGCCCCCUUGGAGUCCAAUACAUGCGGCAAGGGACUCACAGCUCCGCCCCGAAGCUGCAAUGUAUUAGUGAGUCCUCCAGGCUUUCCCCUAAUUUCUCUGAUGUGUAAAAUGGGGAUGAUCCCAGUUAUGUGACAGGGUUGUGGUGAGGACUAAGUAAGUUAUCUGAAGAUUCUCACAUGGGGUCAGCGCUAGCUGGGAUUACUCUUGUAGGUGACCAGCAAGCAUCGUAGGUGGUCUGCAACAAACGAGUGCAUGUCAUCUCAUAAAUGCCCAUGUAUUUCUGCAGUCCUUUAACUCUACAGAGUUUCUCUUACUUGCCAUUAUUGUAAAUCAUCUCUGGAACGAUGAGGUAUGGAAGUAUAGGGGGAGGUUUUCCAGAAAGGGAAACUGAGGCUCAGCUGUUGAGGAAGGUUCCAUUAGGUUCCUUAUGAUCCCAGAGAUUUGUGAAGAAGGUGAUCAGAGCUCAGCCAACCCCUGCUUCCUCUCAACAGGAAAUCCCUUCUUGGUCAUGGUGCUGCAAUCUCCUUGUCCUGCCAGCCUGGGCUAUCUGAUCUUCCCCUCACUCAGGUCGGCUGAGGAGAGAUGGGAGGCUGCUCUGCCUGUAGCAUAUUCCAUUCUGGGCUCAAUUCCUGCCAGGUGAGACUUGAUACCAGACUUCCCCUGCUAGAGCUUGAGCCAGGCCAUGUCCCUGGCAGGAUCCCCCAGGAAGGAUCCAAAAACCACUUCCCUGGUAUUUUCAGCUCUGACUCUUUGGAGAGAAGCCUAUCUGGAUAUUCACAGCAUCUUCUCCAAUACCGCAGGUGCAGGAAAUAUCCGGAAGUCUCAGGGCUGCUCAGGGGUCUCUUUGCUUGGUGACAUCACCUGACUACCGUUGGCAAAAGAAGGUAUUUGAACUUUCAGACCAGACUAGAGGAUGAAAGAAAUCUAUUUGAGCUUUUUUCCUGCUUCUAUAUUAAUAAUGUCAUCAAUGACAAUAACAAAAUGCUGUCAAAAUGGGAACUGACAGGGGGUGCAGGAAGGGAAUGAUAAUUUCUCACUGAGAGGAUUUCCUCUGUAUCUCCUAUUUGUAUAGGAAAAAGAGUUACUGAAAUUUGUAACUAGAAGAGAAAAAACAUUGUUUCCAUGGGUCAAAAGGAUGUAUGAUCCUUUUUAAAAUCCUUACAACAGGCGGUAGGAGCUAUGAUUGUUACCGAGCUUGGAUUAGGUAACCUGUUCAACGUCAUGGACUAAGAGGAAACAUAGCCAGGAUCUUAAUCCAGACAGUCUGACUUCAAAGCCUGAGCUCUCUUAACCAGAAUCCAUAAUUGCCUCCUGGAUCAGCUAGUCUCAUCUCCUUGAUGCUCAGCUAAAGAAGCUGGAACUCGGGCACACAGAGGUUGUGCGGUCUGCCCUUGAUGCCUGAGCUGGCCAGCAGCAGAGGUGGGAUUAGGACCCGCUCCCCAUCAUGCCCAUCUGGCGGCAGCCUGCCUUAAGUCAGCACACCUGCCUUCGAAUGUGGCGGCUCUGGCUCGUGGUUCCUGCAACUACCAAACAGCAUGACACAAAUAAGAGAAGAGGAGGCAGGAAUACCCUUCUAACCCGCCUGCCUGCCCUGCCAGGACUUCUUUUUUUGUUUUUUGUUUUGUUUUGUUUUUUGAGACAGAGUCUCACUCUGUCACCAGGGUGGAGUGCAAUGGCGCGAUCUCGGCUCACUGCAACCUCCACCUACCGGGUUCAAGCGAUUCUCCUGCCUCAGCCUCCUGAGUAGCUGGGACUACAGGCAUGGGCCACCACACCCAGCUAAUUUUUGUAUUUUUAGUAGAGACAGGGUUUCUCCAUGUUGGCCAGGAUGGUCUUGAUCUCCUAAGCUUGUGAUCUGCCUGCCUCGGCCUCCCAAAGUGUUGGGAUUACAGGCGUGAGCCACUGCACCCGGCCUCUGCCAGGACUUUUUAAACUACAAAUUCUCCGGUCUCUCCUUUGUGUGCAUGGUUGUUUUUUUUUUUUUCUUUUGGAGACCGAGUCUUAUUCCGUCACCCAGGCUGGAGUGCAGUGGUGCAAUCUCGGCUCACUGCAACUUCCGCCUCCCAGGCUCAA